rnacentral:rRNA from 1 species
UACGUAGGGCGCAAGCGUUGUCCGGAAUUAUUGGGCGUAAAGAGCUCGUAGGCGGUCUGUCGCGUCGGAUGUGAAAGCCCGGGGCUUAACCCCGGGUCUGCAUUCGAUACGGGCUAGCUAGAGUGUGGUAGGGGAGAUCGGAAUUCCUGGUGUAGCGGUGAAAUGCGCAGAUAUCAGGAGGAACACCGGUGGCGAAGGCGGAUCUCUGGGCCAUUACUGACGCUGAGGAGCGAAAGCGUGGGGAGCGAACAGG